rnacentral:rRNA from 1 species
UACGGGGGCAGCAGUGGGGAAUAUUGCACAAUGGGCGCAAGCCUGAUGCAGCCAUGCCGCGUGUAUGAAAAAGGCCUUCGGGUUGUAAAGUACUUUCAGUCGUGAGGAAGGUGUUAAGGUUAAUAACCUUAGCAAUUGACGUUAGCGACAGAAGAAGCACCGGCUAACUCCGUGCCAGCAGCCGCGGUAAUACGGAGGGUGCGAGCGUUAAUCGGAAUUACUGGGCGUAAAGGGCACGCAGGCGGUUAAUUAAGUUGGAUGUGAAAUCCCCGGGCUUAACCUGGGAAUGGCAUUCAAGACUGGUUAGCUAGAGUCUUGUAGAGGGGGUAGAAUUCCAUGUGUAGCGGUGAAUGCGUAGAGAUGUGGAGGAAGUACCGGUGGCGAAGGCGGCCCCUGGACAAAGACUGACGCUCAUGUGCGAAAGCGUGGGGAGCAAACGAGGAUUAGAUACC